UACAGAGGUCCCAAGCGUUGUUCGGAUUCACUGGGCGUAAAGGGUGCGUAGGUGGUCCCAUAAGUCAGUGCUGAAAUAUCCCGGCUUAACCGGGAGGGUGGCAUUGAUACUGCGGGACUUGAGUAAAGUUGAGGUAGGCGGAAUUGACGGUGUACCGGUGAAAUGCUUAGAUAUCGUCAAGAACACCUAUUGCGAAGGCAGCUUACUAAGCUUUAACUGACACUGAGGCACGAAAGUGUGGGGAUCAAACAGG
rnacentral:rRNA from 1 species